CCGUCCUUAGCUCAACUGGAUAGAGCAGCUGACUUCUAAUCAGCAGGUUUGAGGUUCGAGUCCUCAAGGACGGACCA
rnacentral:tRNA from 1 species